rnacentral:rRNA from 1 species
CCUUGUACACACCGCCCGUCACACCAUGGGAGCUGGUUUUACCCGAAGCCGGUGCGCUAACCGCAAGGAGGCAGCCGACCACGGUAAGGUCAGCGACUGGGGUG